GGAAGUUGAGUCCCCGAUUCAUUGGACCCUACGAGGUGUUGGAGCGGAUAGGCCCCGUAGCGUAUCGGCUUGCUUUACCGCCGAGUCUCGCAGGAGUACACAAUGUAUUUCAUGUAUCUACACUGCGAAAGUAUAUCUUUGAUCCGACCCAUAUAUUGGACAGUACUCCAAUAGAUUUACGAGAGGAUUUCAGCUUUGAGGAGCAUCCAGUGAGAAUCCUAGCUCGGGAAGUAAAACGGCUUCGAAAUCGCGAGAUACCCUACGUGAAGAUCCUUUGGAGUAAUCACGAGGAACGAGAAGCCACUUGGGAACUGGAGAGUGCAAUGCAAGAGCAUUAUCCCUAUCUAUUCUCGAUGGAAUCGUGAGCUCGACCCCAGGAGCUCUGUGGAUGUUGCUGGAGUGCAGAGGAGUGUUCUACCAUCUCUCUCUUUCUCUCUCUAGGAUUUUUCUCUCUCUACAAAGAAGUCGCCGAUUUCGCUCGUUUUCGUCGUCGCGCGCGUUCUUCGCUGGUUGCGAGCGUCACAGCGCCUUUGUGCAUGUGCAAGAGAGCGUUUUGGAGGGAUUUUUGCAGCCCUGGACCAGUAACUCCCUGGUUGCAAGCUGGAGAAGCAGGUCUUCGAGCCUCGUUGAGCUGAACGUGUACUCGUUGAAGCUGGUUUGGAAGUUGUUCUACCCUAAGCGUGAAUGCGAUCGAGCCUUGGAUCAUCGUUAGU